rnacentral:lncRNA from 1 species
UAUCUUUAGGUUAAAUUUGAUGGCUGCUCCUCUUCUGAAUCAUUAAUUUCUGAAGCUUUUGCUUUGGAUUAUCAAUUGUUUUCCUUUUACACUUUGCUGCAUCUUGAUUCUCAUCUAUCAAAAAUAAGUAACUCCCUUUCAGCUGCUUUGGAUUUUCAAUUUUUAGCUUAUUUUCAUUAUUUCUUUAUUUAACGGAGCAACUUUGAUGACACAUCAACAAAAUUCUCUUAUGGAUGGGAUUUAUGGAGAUUUUUGUUGAUGAUUCGAUGGAUCUAAAUCCCUGGUUCAGCUUAUAUGUCCAAGUAAGUACUAAAAACUUAUGCUUGCUCUUUUUAUCCUUUUUCUUCUGUGUUGACCAUGUAUCUGCCUUGUAGGUGUAGAAGGGAGGUAGAUAAAUGGAUGAUCGGACCCACAAACACUUGUACCUGAAGUUGACUCCCAAAUGUACUCAUUACAUAAAAAACCAUUGAUCCUUCAUUACUGUUAAGAAUCCAUUUUGUAGGUCGAAUUUGUACAGAUUAGGCAGAACUUUCUUCUUUUUUAUGGCUUGAUUAAAUGUAAAAAUUGACUUAGAUGCUUUCUUAUAGAUGGU